GACGAACGCUGGCGGCGUGCCUAAUACAUGCAAGUAGAACGCUGAAGAGAGGAGCUUGCUCUUCUUGGAUGAGUUGCGAACGGGUGAGUAACGCGUAGGUAACCUGCCUUGUAGCGGGGGAUAACUAUUGGAAACGAUAGCUAAUACCGCAUAACAAUGGAUGACACAUGUCAUUUAUUUGAAAGGGGCAAUUGCUCCACUACAAGAUGGACCUGCGUUGUAUUAGCUAGUAGGUGAGGUAAUGGCUCACCUAGGCGACGACACAUAGCCGACUUGAGAGGGUGAUCGGCCACACUGGGACUGAGACACGGCCCAGACUCCUACGGGAGGCAGCAGUAGGGAAUCUUCGGCAAUAGGGGCAACCCUGACCGAGCAACGCCGCGUGAGUGAAGAAGGUUUUCGGAUCGUAAAGCUCUGUUGUAAGUCAAGAACGGGUGUGAGAGUGGAAAGUUCACACUGUGACGGUAGCUUACCAGAAAGGGACGGCUAACUACGUG
rnacentral:rRNA from 1 species